AUUGAACGCUGGCGGAAUGCUUUACACAUGCAAGUCGAACGGCAGCACGGACUUCGGCCUGGUGGCGAGUGGCGAACGGGUGAGUAAUGUAUCGGAACGUGCCCAGUCGUGGGGGAUAACGUAGUGAAAAUUACGCUAAUACCGCAUACGAACUAUGGAUGAAAGCGGGGGAUCGCAAGACCCCGCGCGAUUGGAGCGGCCGAUAUCAGAUUAGGUAGUUGGGGGGGAAAAGGCCCACCAAGCCAACGAUCUGUAGCGGGUCUGAGAGGACGACAAGCCACACUGGAACUGAGACAGGGUCCAGACUGCUACGGGGGGCAGCAGUGGGGAUUUUUGGACAAUGGGCGAAAGCCUGAUCCACCCAUUCCGCGUGAGGGAUGAAGGCCCUCGGGUUUUAAACUGCUUUUGUACAGAACGAAAGGGUUUCUACUAAUACUAGGAGCUCAUGACGGUACUGUAAGAAUAAGCACCGGCUAACUACGUGCCAGCCGCCGCCGUAA
rnacentral:rRNA from 1 species